GGCUGUCUCUCAUUCAUCUUUCUAUUCUGAGCACUGACACAGGACUGGGCCCUGACUGAACGCUGUGACUCUGUGAUUGGAUAGGAAUCGGUUAUUGUUUUCCAGCAGUAAAAACGAGAAGGUGAGUGGAAGACAAGAAAGACAAGCUUGGCCUAUCAAGUAGAAAAUGAUACUGCCAGUGCUGACCAAAAAUUCUGAUUGGGUAACAUUUCAUCUCCGAAGGGGAUCAAGGCAAAACCUCAAGGCAGGAACCUCGAGGAAGCAGAGACCAUGAGGAAGCUGCUUUCUGUGUUCCCGUUACUCUACAGCCCAAGAGUACCGCCUCUCCCACAGAACCCUACUGUGUGUCAAGUUGACAAGACCUGUCUGCCCCCAGCAUCUUGCUAUGUAUCCUUGACUAGCCUAGAGCUCACUAAGCAGCCCAGGCCACAGUACCCUCCCUCUAAGGCUCAGCCUCCCAUGUGCCAGGAUUACAGGUAAAUGCCAAUCAACCCAGCUGUUAAAUCAAAUUACCUCCUCUAAGACAUGCAAAUGGUUGGUAAAUCCCCAGCAGAGUGCAUCACAUUGAAGACUAAAGACAAGUCAGAUCAUUACAAAGGUUGGCAGAAGCUGGGAAGAUUUACACCCCUCCAAUGCUGCUUCAGUCACUUGGAAAAGAAUCUAGCUUUUCUCAUGACUAAACCUUGAGUUUCUGUAUAAGCCUCUAAUUCUACUCUAUCCGUGAGAAUGGAAACAUACUUCCACAUAAAAGCUUAUGUAUGAGUGUUUGUUUAUAUUAGCAUUAUUUAUAAUAACCAACAAAAGGAAACAUCUAAAGGACCAGCAGGCAAAUAAAGAAAACACAGGAUUUUCACACAACAGAGUGUUACACACACACACACACACACACACACACACACACACACACACAGACAGUGUUGAUGCAGUAGAGACAAACAAAACACUAGCUCCAACUAUACCAGGCAAACCAAGCUAAUUGUGAAGAGACACACAUGUCAUCAUCAGUUUCAUAUGAAUGAUAUAGUUUAUGGGUUUGGGGUAAAAUGAAAUUGCCUUACACUGGUCAUGGUGCUAGUGUACACAUCUAUAAAUAGGAUCUAUUGAUUUGAACACUUUAGGUAAGUGAGUUGUAUAAUAUUUGA